AAUGAACGCUGGCGGCAUGCCUUACACAUGCAAGUCGAACGGCAGCAUGACCUAUCUUGCUCGGUUGAUGGCGAGUGGCGAACGGGUGAGUAAUGCAUCGGAACGUGCCUUUUAGUGGGGGAUAACGUAGCGAAAGUUACGCUAAUACCGCAUAUUCUCUGAGUAGGAAAGCAGGGGACCUUCGUUCCUUGCGCUAGAAGAGCGGCCGAUGUCGGAUUAGCUAGUUGGUGAGGUAAAGGCUCACCAAGGCAACCAUCCGUAGCGGGUCUGAGAGGAUGGUCCGGCAGACUGGGAGUGAGACACGGCCCAGACUCCGAGGGGAGGCAGCAGUGGGGAAUCUUAGACAAUGGGCGAAAGCCUGAUCCAGCCAUGCCGCGUAAGUGAAGAAGGACUUCGGGUUGGAGAGCUCUUUCGGCUGGGAAGAAAUAGCACCCUCUAAUACAGGGUGUGGAUGACGGUACCAGCAGAAGAAGCACCGGCUAACUACGUG
rnacentral:rRNA from 1 species